rnacentral:lncRNA from 1 species
AAAACCGGGGCCUCGAAUCUGAUAUAAAGAUUAGCCGCUUGUGACGUAGGCCUAAAGAAAAGAAUGGGCCAAUCAUAUCGAGUGUCUUGCCAUGACGAAUUUGACGCUAUGCGACCCACCGCUGGAGACUUCCUUCAACAAAGAUGGCUGACAAAAAUACUGCGAAGCAAAUGUUAGGGACUCCUGAGAAAAACACCAAACCAGGCUGUCGACUUGUGAAACAGUGGAUGUAAAGAAUCUAGCUAGCUAAAGCAUUUACAGCCAAUUGAAUGUACAAUUUUGUAUGCUUGCCUUGCUGAUAUUUGCCAUGAAAUGCAGCUGAAGUAACGUAACUUGGCUAGCUAACCAUUUUCUUGCUUAUUGUGUAGUGGAGGAUAAAAAUACCUGUAUGCCUAUGGAUGUGUAGCUAGCUAUGUAGCUGAUCUGUGUAUGGGACCCUGAAACGUUUGGUAUAAAUAUUAAUUCAGAACCUAGUUAUGAACCUCAGCUAUCAUAGCUGUUUGUAUCCACUUCAGAACAGCCAAAGGGCAUUAAUGAAGCCUAUGGAUGGAGUAGAAUAUAGUAUAACUUUGUGCCAAGGAUGGAAGUCAUAUAUACAUGUAGUUAUUACCAAACAUGAGAUCCCCACAUUGUAGCCUGUACAUUUAAUAUAUUCACUGAUCAUGUACUCUACCUUGGCAAAUACAUUUGUGGUUCAGGUAUGAGUGUCUGUGACAUUCUUUUUCAGUCAUAUCCAGUUCCAAGAGUAAACUCCAGUCUUUGAAUGAUGCUGUGUCUGCAUGUAUGUAUUACAAUUAUACACUUCAGUGUUUACCAAUCCUGGUCAUAUGACAUCUAUGGUUACACAUUGUAACUAUGCAAUGUGUAGACUUUACAGUGAAAUGCUUACUUACAAGCCCUUAACCAACAGUGCAGUUCAAGAAGAGUUGAAAAAAUAUUUACCAAGUAGACUAAAAUAAAAAUGUAUAAUAAAAAGUUACAAUAACAAGGCUAUAUACAGGGGGAACUGGUUCCAAGUCAGCGUGCUGGGGUACAGGUUAGUUCAGGUCAUUUGUACAUGUAGUGACUAUGCAUAGAAGUGAAGUGACUGUGUAUAGAUAAACAGCAGUGUACGGGGGGGGUCAGUGUAAAUUGUCCAGUGGUGGUUUUAUUAAUUGUUCAGCAGUCUUAUGGUUUGGGGGUAGAAGCUGUUGAGCUUUUUGGUCCUAGACUUGGCACUCCGGUACCACUUGCUGUGCGGUAGCAGAGAGAACAAUCUGACUUGGGUGACUGGAGUCUCUUACAAUUUUAUGGGCUUUCCUCUGACACCGCCUAUUAUAUGGCUGGAAGCUUAGCCCCAGUGUUGCACUGGGCCAUUUGCACUAUGCUCUGUAGCGCCUUACGGUCAGAUGCAGAGCAGUUGCCAUACCAGGUCAGGAUGCUCUUGAUGGUGCAGCUGUAGAACCUUUUGAGGAUCUGGGGACAAAUGCCAAACAUUUUCAGUCUCCUGAGGGGGAAAGGUUUUGUCGUGCCCUCUUCACGACUGUCUUGGUAUGUUUGGACCAUGAUUGGGGCGACAAGGUGAAAAUCUGUCGUUCUGCCCCUGAACAAGGCAGUUAACCCACUGUUCCUAGGCCGUCAUUGGAAAUAAGAAUUUGUUCUUAACCGAUUUGCCUAGUUAAAUAAAAGUUUGUUGGUGAUGGGGACACCAAGGAACUUGAAACUCUCGACCUGCUCCACUACAGCCCCUUUCGAUGUUGAUGGAGGCCUGUUCGGCCCUCCUUUUCCUGUAGUCCACAAUCAGCUUCUUUGUCUUGCUCACAUUGAGGGAGGGGUUAUUGUCCUGCGCCACACUGCCAGUUCUCUGACCUCCUCCCUCUAGGCUGUAGACUAGAAACAUUUAUUUAACUAGUUAAAGGCUGAUUUGUAAUU